CUUUAUCCCUUGAUUCCUUCCUAUCUUGAACAAUAUUUGCGAAAUUCUUCAUCUCAUCUGUUCAAUUCUUAGUUAUGAACAUCUGAUGGAAAACUCAAAUACUAAUGAAUCCCUGAAUCAAAUAUCCAAGACGCAAGACGUAAUCCAAGACGCAAAAUCUGCUCCCACCAAAGAACAAAAAUUGACCCUGCUUUGCUGUUCUCUUAAGUAAUCAAGGUUACAUUGCUGAUGGAGUGAAAAUGUAAGUUGAUCUUGAUAGUAACCGGAAAAGUGUAGAAGACAUAAAUUUAAAGAAAGGCUUUGGUGGCGAUAAUAAGAAUGAUGUAAAAAUUGAGAGUCAAACGAAAAAGAAUCCAAAUGGUAAACCUCAAAGUAAAAAAGGCAAAUUAGUGAAAUCAGCUAUACAAGAAUCAGCAUGUGCGGUGCGUGUGCUGUUUUCGGAUAACUUGGAAGGAUAUGUCUAUCAUAUGGAGAAUGAAUAUAAAAGCACGAAGAAAAGUACGUCUAAACAGAAAACUGUUGGUAAAGAAAACAAAAGACUCGGUAUGAACGUAUUUUGGAUUUGUACACAAUUGAAAAGUUGAGAAAACUAAGGAUGAUUCAUCUACCGAGCAAGAGGAUGAGGAAGAAAUAGAGUCAGAAUCUGAAGAAUCGGAAAGCGAAGACAACGGAAGUGAAAUAUAGAAUAUCUGCUGAAAACAUUCAUUAUUAUACAUCAACAUUCUUUUUUUUUUUGUUUUUAAAACUCUUACGGUAAUUACAUAGAUUACAUCUUUCAUUUACUAUCAAUACAUGUACGUCUAACUAAUACACC